rnacentral:lncRNA from 1 species
UAAGGGUGAUGUAGACCCUUUCAGACAGACUCUGCCAGCAAGUAACUGAGAACCAGUGUGCUGAGUGGGUACAAAACCAGCUCUGCAAUUAGACUCCCUGGUCAUGAAUCCCAGCUUUGUCCCUUCCUAGCUCUGUAUCCUUUGGCAAAUUACUAAACCACUCUGAGCCUCAAUUUUCCCACUUGUAAAAUGGGGCUAAUCAUUAUAUACAUCUCAUAGAAUUAUUGUUUGAACUAAUACGUGACAAGAGCUUAUCAUGCUUGGCACAUCAUAGAUGCCAAUAAAUGUUAGCUACUGUCAUUACCUACAGGUUACCAUUCUCUGUGUGUCUUCUUUAACCAAGCAGAUUCUAGGAAUACAGCACUAGGAUGCCCAGCCACGUAGUCAGGGAGUACAGCAACACGAGUGGUCCAGACCUACAGAGCCAUCCUGGAAGCAGUGCCCCAGGGAAAUGCGGAAUCUAGACCACAUGGAGCAUUAGCACCAAUCAAUUGCCAAGAAGUGAAAAGCAGGAGGGGAGUAUUUCGGUUGAUGAAGCCAAAAAAGUAGAAGUCACCCUCCAUUUCUGCCUUUUCCCUACCUCCACUUGCC